rnacentral:piRNA from 1 species
UAAGGAACUAUGAUAACCUCAGUGUAG